GGCUAACGCUGGCGGCGUGUCUUAGCCAUGCAAGUCGAGCGGACUUAUGGGGUAACUUAUAAGUCAGCGGCGGACGGCGGAGUAACACGUAGCUAACCUACCCUCUGGACGGGGAUAACCUACCGAAAGGUGGGCUAAUACCCGAUGUAGUCAUCCUGUAUAGGGGUGAUGAAAGGUGGGCUUCUGUUUACAAGCUCAUGCUGGAGGAGGGGGCUGCGGCCUAUCAGGUAGUUGGUAGGGUAAUAGCCUACCAAGCCGAUGACGGGUAGCCGGCCUGAGAGGGUGACCGGCCCGAGGGGCACUGAGAUACGGGUCCCACUCCUACGGGAGGCAGCAGGCUAGAAAUUUGGGCAAGUGGGGGAAACCCUGACCCAGUGACGCCGCGUGCAGGAAGGAGCCCUUCGGGGUGUAAACUGCUGUCGUGUAGGGAGAAGGGUACUAAGGUGAACAAUCUUAGUACUUGACGGUACUACAGGAGGAAGCCAGGCUAACUCGUGCCAGCAGCCGCGGUAAGAUAGCGUACU
rnacentral:rRNA from 1 species